rnacentral:rRNA from 1 species
GACGAGUGGCGGACGGGUGAGUAAAGUAUGGGGAUCUGCCGAAUGGAGGGGGACAACAGUUGGAAACGACUGCUAAUACCGCAUAAAGUUGAGAGACCAAAGCAUGGGACCUUCGGGCCAUGCGCCAUUUGAUGAACCCCAUAUGGGAUUAGCUAGUUGGUAGGGUAAUGGCUUACCAAGGCGACGAUCUCUAGCUGGUCUGAGAGGAUGACCAGCCACACUGGAACUGAGACACGGUCCAG